CGGAGGGUGCAAGCGUUAUCCGGAUUCACUGGGUUUAAAGGGUGCGUAGGUGGGUUGGUAAGUCAGUGGUGAAAUCUCCGUGCUUAACAUGGAAACUGCCAUUGAUACUACUGGUCUUGAAUUUUCUGGAGGUAAGCGGAAUAUGUCAUGUAGCGGUGAAAUGCUUAGAUAUGACAUAGAACACCAAUUGCGAAGGCAGCUUACUACAGGGAUAUUGACACUGAGGCACGAAAGCGUGGGGAUCAAACAGGAUUAGAUACCCUGGUAGUCCACGCCCUAAACGAUGGAUACUCGACAUUUGCGAUACACAGUAAGUGUCUGAGCGAAAGCAUUAAGUAUCCCACCUGGGAAGUACGACCGCAAGGUUG
rnacentral:rRNA from 1 species